UUUUACAAUGAAGAGUUUGAUCCUGGCUCAGGAUGAACGCUAGCUACAGGCUUAACACAUGCAAGUCGAGGGGCAGCAUGAUUGAAGCUUGCUUCAAUUGAUGGCGACCGGCGCACGGGUGAGUAACACGUAUCCAACCUUCCGUACACUCAGGGAUAGCCUUUCGAAAGAAAGAUUAAUACCUGAUGGUAUCUUAAGCACACAUGUAAUUAAGAUUAAAGAUUUAUUGGUGUACGAUGGGGAUGCGUUCCAUUAGGUAGUAGGCGGGGUAACGGCCCACCUAGCCUACGAUGGAUAGGGGUUCUGAGAGGAAGGUCCCCCACAUUGGAACUGAGACACGGUCCAAACUCCUACGGGAGGCAGCAGUGAGGAAUAUUGGUCAAUGGACGAGAGUCU
rnacentral:rRNA from 1 species